CUUUACUGUAGCUUGAGAUUGGGUUCGGGCUUUUCUUGCGCAGCAUAGGUGGGAGGCUUUGAAUGUGUUCUUGCGGGAAUACAGGAGCCAUCAGUGAGAUACCACUCUGGGAAAGCUAGAAUUCUAACUUCGAACCGUUAUCCGGUUGAGGGACAGUUUCAGGUGGGCAGUUUGACUGGGGCGGUCGCCUCCUAAAAGGUAACGGAGGCGUGCAAAGGUUCCCUCAGACUGGUCGGAAAUCAGUUGUAGAGUGUAAAGGCAUAAGGGAGCUUGACUGCGAGACCUACAAGUCGAGCAGAGACGAAAGUCGGCCUUAGUGAUCCG
rnacentral:rRNA from 1 species